rnacentral:rRNA from 1 species
UACGUAGGGUGCGAGCGUUGUCCGGAAUUAUUGGGCGUAAAGAGCUCGUAGGCGGUGUGUUACGUCGGCCGUGAAAACCUGCAGCUUAACUGUGGGCGUGCGGUCGAUACGGGCAUCACUGGAGUUCGGCAGGGGAGACUGGAAUUCCUGGUGUAGCGGUGAAAUGCGCAGAUAUCAGGAGGAACACCGGUGGCGAAGGCGGGUCUCUGGGCCGACACUGACACUGAGAGACGAAAGCUAGGGGAGCAAAUGGG